rnacentral:rRNA from 2 species
GAAGGGUGCAAGCGUUAAUCGGAAUUACUGGGCGUAAAGCGUGCGUAGGCGGUUGGUUAAGUCUGUCGUGAAAGCCCUGGGCUCAACCUGGGAAUGGCGAUGGAUACUGGCCAGCUAGAGUGUGAUAGAGGAUGGCGGAAUUCCCGGUGUAGCGGUGAAAUGCGUAGAGAUCGGGAGGAACAUCCGUGGCGAAGGCGGCCAUCUGGAUCAACACUGACGCUGAGGCACGAAAGCGUGGGGAGCAAACAGGAUUAGAUACCCUGGUAGUCCACGCCCUAAACGAUGCGAACUGGAUGUUGGUCUCAACUCGGAGAUCAGUGUCGAAGCUAACGCGUUAAGUUCGCCGCCUGGGGAGUACGGUCGCAAGACUG